rnacentral:rRNA from 1 species
UACAGGGGGCGCGAGCGUUAAUCGGAAUUACUGGGCGUAAAGCGCGCGUAGGCGGCUUUGCAAGUCGGGUGUGAAAUCCCCAGGCUUAACCUGGGAACUGCAUUCGAGACUGCGUUGCUAGAGUAUGGGAGAGGGAAGUGGAAUUUCAGGUGUAGCGGUGAAAUGCGUAGAUAUCGGAAGGAACAUCAGUGGCGAAAGCGACUUCCUGGACCAAUACUGACGCUCAUGUGCGAAAGCGUGGGGAGCAAACAGG